GUCAUGCAUGUAAACUCCUACUUGUUUAAACCCAAGAAUUUUUUUCUUUAAGAAAGUAGAGAGUAGGUGAAGAAAAACAGGACAAUUUGUGAGUAUUUUCUUAAUAUGUUAAUUCAGAAGUAAUUUGUGGGACAUUUUGUGGACUAUCGGUUUGAAACUUAUUUGUUUAUUUCUAAGGAUAACAAAGCUGAUGUAAUUUUAAAGUACAAUGCUGAUGAAGCUAGAAUUCUGAAGGCAUAUGGCGAGCUUCCAGAACAUGCUAAAAUCAAUGAUACAGAUACAUUUGGUCCUGGAGAUGAUGAUGAAAUCCAGUUUGAUGAUAUUGGAGAUGAUGACGAAGACAUUGAUGAUAUCUGAAUUGAACUCAGAGUUUGUGAAGAUUAUUCUACAAUUUUGAUUUUGGCCAGCACCUGUUAAGAAGACUAAAACUUCACUUAGUAUGAACUUAGUUUGUUAAGACACACUGAUUUAUUUUCAUUGUUCUAAAGUAUUAUAUUUCUCUAAAAACUGAUGAAACUGAAUUACUUUAAGUGAAAAUUUAACACUUUAUUCAUUCGAUGCAAUUGAAUUUAGGAAUAAAAGACUACAAUUAUAACUCACUGCUGUCAAACAACAGAAACAAGUUAUUCCCACAUGACUACUUUAUUAUAGUUAAUAGGUGUUUUGAAUAAAUUGCCUUAUCAUUUUUGAUAAAGCCUUGUUUUGAUAAAGCCUUGUUCCAGCUAGUCUGUUUACAUUCUUCUCUAUAUUCUAGUUAUCUAGAUGUUUUCUAAGAUUUUUGACAUACUUUAAGAAAGGUAGAAGUCAAGAAAUGGAGCUAUAUUUGUAUUUAUGUACCCAUAUGUAUUUUUAUACUAAGUUUGAUAACUUAAACAUUCUUCUCAUCAUUUUACGUUGCCACCAUCAUUAAAAAAAUAUAUAUUUUCCAAAAUGCAGUUUUUAGAACAUGGGUUUGAAAAGCAGUUUUCAAUUUGUUAGAUUAUCAGUUGCAAUAAUUCAGUGUUAGGUGACCUAAUUAUUUUUACAUUGGAGGUAUUGACAUAUUAGUUGAUAGUAUUUUUACCCAAUGUGUAUAGAAAAUUUCUCAAGAACAACUUUUGAUGAUAAAACGAGACAGCCUUUUUUUUUUAAUUUUACAGAAUAGGUUGUGUUAAAUGUGUCACUUAUUGUCAAAAGUCAUAUGCAUUGUGACCCAUAUUUUUGGGCUUUAUGAACAAUUAAAUUACAAUGUAUAAAGGAAAAACUAAUUUUAUAGUAAGUUCUGUUAAACUAAGCCCUUCUUAAAGCCUUAUCUGGGUUUUACCAAAGGGAAAGAAAGGAACCACUACUAAGAAAUAUAAUAAAAUGUGUUGUUGAGUAUA